rnacentral:lncRNA from 1 species
UUCAGACUUGUGCCUACGUACCAACAUAAAAUGAGGGAUCAAAACUUCGUAGUUCUUGGUAAAAAUUUCAAAUAAGUCGGUGAAUUGUUUUUAACAAAAGUUUAAUAAGAAAAGGCACAAAGGGCCAAAAAUUUAAAUGAAGUUGUUAGUUCUUUUUGUCUUUUGAAAUUUUAAGUCAAUAUGGUUAAGUUUAUUUACAAGUUUGAUUUAAGAAAGAGUUUGAAAAUUCAAUGGCAUAAUCCCAAAGUUUCCAAUCAC